CGCCGCUGCUGCCCCGGCGGGAACCGCCCCUGGUCCGGCCCCAGCCCGCCGUGAGGGGGACGGGGCGGCCUGAGGGGAGCUGCCCGCCAUUGGGGUUUUGGCGCGGAGCUGCGGCGGCGCGUGUCGCGACAGGAGCGCCAGCCUGCCUGUGAGCGCUGCCCUCACCCUGUCGUGAUAGCGGCCUCAUCCAGUCCAGGGCAGGUAAAAUUUGACUUCCAGAGAGACUGAUAGACUGUGAACACAAAGGAUGGGGCUGCUGCUGGGAGAUUUCUGGAACUGGAUCUCUGUUCCUGCACAAAGAGCUCCUUGCUCCUUGGAAGUGUAAAGAGGCAGCGAGACAGAGUCUGAUCUCAGUGACAGUAACCAUGAGAGAUCACAGUUUGGCUUGAGUUCUUGCAUAGUGCCAUGAACAGUCCCACCAAGGCACAGGCUUCAGCCAUUCCGUGUAUUUGCUGAAUCACAAGGAAAAGUCACACUCUCUCUGACUUUUCAAGAUUGAAAGGAAGACAUGUAGGUGCACUCCAUGUAGGUGAGUAGCAAUAAUGUAAGAGUGAACAGCUUUUCUUACUCAUGGAGAUGACUCCAUUUUCAGGCA
rnacentral:lncRNA from 1 species